CCUACGGGUGGCAGCAGUGGGGAAUAUUGCACAAUGGGGGAAACCCUGAUGCAGCGACGCCGCGUGAGUGAAGAAGUAAUUCGUUAUGUAAAGCUCUAGCAGCAGGGAAGAAAAUGACGGUACCUGAGUAAGAAGCCCCGGCUAACUACGUGCUAGCAGCCGCGGUAAUACGUAGGGGGCAAGCGUUAUCCGGAUUUACUGGGUGGAAAGGGAGCGUAGACGGCAGUGCAAGUCUGGAGUGAAAGGCGGGGGCUCAACCCCCGGACUGCUCUGGAAACUGUACGGCUGGAGUGCAGGAGAGGUAAGUGGAAUUCCUAGUGUAGAGGUGAAAUGCGUAGAUAGUAGGAGGAACACCAGUGGCGAAGGCGGCUUACUGGACUGUAACUGACGUUGAGGCUCGAAAGCGUGGGGAGCAAACAGGAUUAGAUACCCUAGUAGUC
rnacentral:rRNA from 1 species